UUGCAUGCCAGUUGACCCUUCCAUGCUUUUUCAUGUGGCUGAGAAGGGGGACAGAGCAUGCAAGAUUAUCGUGGAGUUUGGAUAAGAUGUGGUCGGAUCAGUCUGGCCUUGUUCUUUCCAGCUCCUACAUAU